GCAGUCGAACGAGCUGCGCCUAAUGAUAGUUGAUGCUUGCAUUAGCUUGACUUAAGUUAGCAGCGAGUGGCGAACUGGUGAGUAACACGUGGAUAACCUGCCCAGAAGAAGGGGAUAACACCUGGAAACAGAUGCUAAUACCGUAUAACAACGAAAACCACAUGGUUUUCGUUUGAAAGAUGGCCUUUGUGCUAUCGCUUUUGGAUGGAUCCGCGGCGCAUUAGCUAGUUGGUGAGAUAAAGGCUCACCAAGGCAAUGAUGCGUAGCCGACCUGAGAGGGUAAUCGGCCACAUUGGGACUGAGACACGGCCCAGACUCCUACGGGAGGCAGCAGUAGGGAAUCUUCCACAAUGGACGAAAGUCUGAUGGAGCAAUGCCGCGUGAGUGAAGAAGGGUUUCGGCUCGUAAAACUCUGUUGUUAGAGAAGAACGGGCGUGAGAGUAACUGCUCACGUCGCGACGGUAUCUAACCAGAAAGUCACGGCUAACUACGUGCCAGCAGCCGCGGUAAUACGUAGGUGGCAAGCGUUGUCCGGAUUUAUUGGGCGUAAAGCGAGCGCAGGCGGUCUUCUAAGUCUGAUGUGAAAGCCUUCGGCUUAACCGGAGAAGUGCAUCGGAAACUGGGAAACUUGAGUGCAGA
rnacentral:rRNA from 1 species